rnacentral:rRNA from 1 species
UACGGGGGGGGCAAGCGUUGUUCGGAAUUACUGGGCGUAAAGGGCUCGUAGGUGGCCAACUAAGUCACACGUGAAAUCCCUCGGCUUAACCGGGGAACUGCGUGUGAUACUGGAUGGCUUGAGUUUGGGAGAGGGAUGCGGAAUUCCAGGUGUAGCGGUGAAAUGCGUAGAUAUCUGGAGGAACACCGGUGGCGAAGGCGGCAUCCUGGACCAAUACUGACGCUGAGGCGCGAAAGCUAGGGGAGCAAACGGG